AGCAGCCGCGGUAAUUCCAGCUCCAAUAGCGUAUAUUAAAGUUGCUGCAGUUAAAAAGCUCGUAGUUGAAUUUCGGGGUCAAUAUGUUGGUCGUGCCUUGGUACGUACUAGCUUAUUGAUUUCUCCUUCUGACGAACCAUGAUGUCAUUAAUUUGGUGUCAUGGGGAAUCAGGACUGUUACUUUGAAAAAAUUAGAGUGUUUAAAGCAGGCUCGCGCUUGAAUACAUUAGCAUGGAAUAAUGAAAUAGGACAUUUGAUUCUAUUUUGUUGGUUCUAGGAUCGAUGUAAUGAUUAAUAGGGAUAGUUGGGGGCAUUAGUAUUCAAUUGUCAGAGGUGAAAUUCUUGGAUUUAUUGAAGACUAACUACUGCGAAAGCAUUUGCCAAGGAUGUUUUCAUUAAUCAAGAACGAAAGUUAGGGGAUCGAAGACGAUCAGAUACCGUCGUAGUCUUAACCAUAAACUAUGCCGACUAGGGAUCGGAUGAUGUUAAUUUUUUAAUGACUCAUUCGGCGCCUUACGGG
rnacentral:rRNA from 1 species